rnacentral:lncRNA from 10 species
AGGGCGAGGCCUGGGGUAGGGCCAGGAUAAGCCUCACUGGGGCAGGUCCUGGGUAGAGACCAGGUUGGCGGGUCUUGGGGCGGGGCCAGGAUAGGGCGAUCCUGGAAGCUGGGCUUCGGAAGCGUCCAGGUUGGUGGCGUCCUGGAGGCAGUGCCUUGCGUGGGGGCAGGAUAAGAGUCCUGGAGGCGGGCAUUAGGGCGGGGAUAAACGCCAUUGGGUUCAGGAGGCGGGACUCAGAGCAGAGCCCAGGAGACAGGUCUUAGGGCGGGGCUAAGGCCAGACCCAGAGAAGGGCUCAGGAGGCGGGGCAGGGGCGGGGCGUUGACUAUGUCUUGGCACAUGGCCAGGCGGUGCGCGGACUCUGGGAGGCGGAGCUUAGGACGGGCCCACGUGGGGAGGGGCCCAGGGUCCGGGAGGCGGUGCCGAGUCCCGGCUGGGCUGCGCUCAGGAGGCGGGCCCUGGGAGGCGGAGCUUAGGGAGGGGCCGGUGGCGGGAGGGACCCAGGGACUGGGAGGCUGGUCGGGGCUGGGCUCAGGGUCCGAGACCUAGCUGGGCUUGGGGCGGGGCCGAGACGGAGCGAGGGGUCCAGGGUGUGGGAAACGGGGAGGGGUUUGAGGAGAGGAUCGGAAUGUGGCUCAAGUUCGGGAGGCGUUACCUGCGGAGGGUUUGAGGCAGGCCCAGGAGCGAGCCCACGGUCUGCCUACGCGGGGCCAGGGGCGGGCCCCAGGAUCCGGAGCUUCGGGCGGGGCGGAGUCCGAGUUUGGGGCCCGGGAGGCGGGGCCAGUUAGGGUGAGGGUCCCUGGGAUCGACGGGUCAGGUCUUGGGCUAACGUAGGCACUCUCGCAGUUCCUCCGCCUUCAGGAAGGUCUUUUUAGCAGAGGCCUUACGGGUGCGCGCUUCGGUCCUGGAGGCCUUAUCCUAACCUCCUCUCCAUCAGCGCCACCCGUCUGGGGCCCGAAACGAGGGAGCUUUCCCUCUGUCCCCCAGCCUUUGGACUGUCACCAAACAAGCCAUUCGUUCAUCAAAAAUACUUAUUAAGCGCCUACCAUGUGCCUGACAAGGGAGAUGUAACGGUGAGAAAAAGUAGGUGUGGUCCAGGCCCUCCAGGGGCUCAGGGGCUCGUGGAAGAAGUGGACAUUGAAAUACUUAUCACACAAAUGAGGAUAAAAGUACGAUAGCGAUAUCUGCCACGAAGGUGAGCAGACAGAGCUAGCGGGGCUUGCAGGAGGAGUUUUGAUCUUGCAGGGACAGGAAGGAGGAGUUAGCUCCUGCGGGGUGGGAUUGGGGGUGGUGGUGAUAUAGACGUGGGGACAGAGUGGAAAACAACAAAAAUAUAAUUAUUUUAGUUCAAAGUUAUUGUGUCUUGAGUUGAAAGGCAGGGCAGUUAGCAACACAGUUCAGAUUUCAGUACUGCCCCUGAAAUCUGAACUGUGUUCAAAGUCUAAAACGUUUACCUUAGCAAAUUCCUCAUAAAACUCCAUUUGGAAGAGUCCCGAGAGCGAAUUUGUUAAGUACACUUGCAAAAGGUAGAUGAGGAGACAGAUAAAAUCUUAUUACCUCUUUCAGAUGAGAGCCACUUGAGCCCUGCUCAGCUAUGAGAAUAAGAGAGGGGAAUUAAUUCUAAUUGAAUACACUUGUUCUCUUAUAGCUGUUGUUCCACACCAGAACCAAAUGAGCGCAAGAUCUGACAAAGAAAAAAAAAGGUUCAUCUUUUAUUCCUCCAAACACUUUCAUUUAAAUCAAGAGGAUGGGAUGUGGUUAUUGCUGUGUUUUUAGGCAGAAUCAACGGUUUCUGGGUCUGAGAUGGUGCAUACACCCUCUCAGUCCCUGUAUCCUGAGAUGGAGUCACAUUUUUUGAUAUGGGCAAAAGAGAACCAGCGGCAGGGGGCCUCUGUGGUGACUUUUUCGGUGAUCUUCGUGUACUCUGUAUAAUGAUCAGCCACUCAGGCUUGGGGGCAGCACUUAACCUUACAUUUCU